GCAUUAAUGGGGUAGUGGUAACCUGGGUCGUUGCCAUCCGCUGAGUAAUUGUAGGUUCGACCCGCCGGGGGUUCGAUUCCCUCUUAAUGCA